AAUAGAAACCAAAUAAAUAUUAACAUGGGAAUUCCAACUGUGUUAGCUUUGCCAUAUGCAGCACAAGGGCAUGUGAACCCCAUGAUGACAUUCUCACAGAAGCUGGUUGAGAAUGGAUGCAAAGUAAUUUUUGUUAACACAGACUUUAACCACAGGAGAGUGGUGAAUUCUAUGGAGCAAAAAGAUGGUUCAAGCCCUGAUGAAGAAUCACUGCUGAAGUUGGUAUCAAUCCCUGAUGGUUUAGGACCUGAUGAUGACAGAAACGAUCAGGCCAAGCUGUGUGAAGCCAUUCCAAAAACCAUGCCAGAAGCACUUGAGAAACUCAUAGAGGAUAUUCAUUCGAAAGGUGAGAAUAAAAUCAACUUCAUUGUUGCAGAUGUGUGCAUGGCUUGGGCUUUGGAUGUUGGGAGGAAAAUCGGAAUCAAAGGAGCUGUGUUGUGUCCAGCAUCAGCAGCUAUUUUCACCUUGCUGCACAGCGUUCCUAUGCUUAUUCAUGAUGGCAUUGUAGACUCUGAUUUAGGUAACAAU
rnacentral:lncRNA from 1 species